UAGUCCGCUCGAGUUCCGUUUCAGACGACGAGCCAGACCAUCGAUGGCGGCACGAAGCAGAGUGUGCGCGAGCCGGCGCAGGUAGUAGUUAUACGCCUGAGUGCCUCUCGGCCUCGCUCUUGGACGGCUCCCAGACGCCGGACGGUUGCCGUUGCCGUCGGAGGGGGAACGAAGGAGCCGGCAGUGGAGAGCUGGAGAUCGAGCGCGGGGAGGCGACGCCUGUGGCCCAGUUUUUGUUCGUCGGGGACUCGCAAAAUCGCAAUCCACAUGCACGCCCCCGCAAUUAUCCGAGAAGAUCGAUCCAGCCUGGCAAAAUGUCGCUGGGAUCUUCACGUUCCCCCUCAAACCAAGGUAACCCUUUGCCUUCCCUCGAGCGGUCGAGCCGCUUCGUCCAUUUGCGCGGUAGUUCGGUGCUUUUGCGGUGAGAUUUAGUUGCUUGGAAGACUACGCGAUGGUCUGUGUUUUUGAGACUUCCAUCCAAGUGAUCAGAAUGCCUCAACCUGAAUAAAGCAGGCAGAGUGACACAAACUGCAGAUUUUACCGAUCUAAUAGGCUGUGCUCAUGUCUGUUAAUUAUACUUCUUUUUAGAGACAGAGAAUUUAAACAUGGCUAUCCAGUCACUGCUUGUGAUGCAUUAUUGCUGAUGAGCCUUUGUGUACUCAAUCCAACAAUUGGAAUACAAAACAGGGGUGUAUGCCAUGUGCUAAAGCUCGAUCGAGAUAAGCUGGUUAGACUCUGCAUAUUAGUUUCUUUCCUUGAUCAGUCAUGCUUUGCUAGUGCCUAUCUACAGGUAAGUGAUCAUGCUAUGCUAGUGUGCAUGUCAACACUUGUUUUCGUGGUGCAGUAAUGCUUUUUUACUGAUACAGACGUGUUCAUAGUUGCAUAAUUAACGUGCGCACUAGUUAUGCUUGUUACGUAUGCAACUAUAGCCUCCAAAUUAAAGUUCAGGAUUAAGACUAGCUUUGGUUAUCCGCGUUGUGCAGUAACUAACGCCUGGAAGAUCUGUGUGUUUUGACUCAAGUUGGUAGUGUACAGUUGCAACUUCCACAUGCAGGGUUUACUGUUUCAGUCUAACUUCUACAAGACUGCAAAGUAAUAAUAUCAUGAUGUAGAGAGGCCGUCCAAUCUUUUAUGUUGACGGUAAAGGGUGCUCCAGUCUCUGAAAAGUUAGAACCACGUACUGGAAGAAAUUACAAAAUGGAAAUGUCAACUUUGCUCUGAUUGAUGGCUAAUCUGUUCUGAACCGUGGAGUUACAACUUUGCAUCAACUCAUUGCUGGCAAGUGGCAACUUUGCAUCAACUCAUUGCUGGCAAGUGGCUACUACUCUUUUCUGAACUGUGAAGGUGAUGUUCGCGAUGAUGAGUUGCUGGUGAUAACUCUCACUCGAUUGUGGGCUCCCAUAAUCUUCAUCCUUAGCUUUGUUGGAGAAAGGGCACCAGCCUGCAGGAACCUCAAGGCUGAUAAAGAGGUAUGGCGUUGAAUAAAGGCCAAAACAUGGAGACCGGUAAACGGUGUUCGUUAACAUCCGAUGGCUGCAUCGUACUACAACUACUACAUCGAACCCAUGAAUCUGCAGAAAUAUCAGUCUUGGAGUAAUUAGCAAGAUUUUCUGUCAGUGCAUGACCCAUUUGUCUCAGUUAUAGAGAAGGAAGCAGGGUCUUCCAGUGCACCAGUUCUGUUUAUCUAAUGAACAGCUAAUGAUACUCAUGAAUUGCACAGUUACAAUCAAUCCUAACCUGGAACAGAUCACAAAUGAUUGUUUGACGC